GAUGAACGCUGGCGGCGUGCCUAAUACAUGCAAGUCGAGCGAACGGACGAGAAGCUUGCUUUUCUGAUGUUAGCGGCGGACGGGUGAGUCACACGUGGAUAACCUACCUAUAAGACUGGGAUAACUUCGGGAAACCGGAGCUUAUACCGGAUAAUAUUUUGAACCGCAUGGUUCAAAAGUGAAAGACGGUCUUGCUGUCACUUAUAGAUGGAUCCGCGCUGCAUUAGCUAGUUGGUAAGGUAACGGCUUACCAAGGCAACGAUGCAUAGCCGACCUGAGAGGGUGAUCGGCCACACUGGAACUGAGACACGGUCCAGACUCCUACGGGAGGCAGCAGUAGGGAAUCUUCCGCAAAGGGCGAAAGCCUGACGGAGCAACGCCGCGUGAGUGAUGAAGGUCUUCGGAUCGUAAAACUCUGUUAUUAGGGAAGAACAUAUGUGCAAGUAACUGUGCACAUCUUGACGGUACCUAAUCAGAAAGCCACGGCUAACUACGUG
rnacentral:rRNA from 1 species